AGGGUUUAAGAUUUAGGGUUUAGGGUUUAGAGUUUAGGGUUUAGGGUUUAGAUUUUAGGGUUUAGGGUUUAGGGUUUAGGGUUUAGAGUUUAGGGUUUAGGGUUUAGAGUUUAAGGUUUAGGGUUUAUGGUUUAGAGUUUAGGGUUUAGGGUUUAGAGUUUAGGGUUUAGGAUUUAGAGUUGAGAAAUGAGGUUUUGGGGAUAAGAUUUCAAAUUUUGAAAAAUAAAAAAAAUUAAAAUUUUCAAAGAAUAAACUUAGAAAUGUGCUAUUUUGGUCAUUUUAGUUUUUGAGUG
rnacentral:lncRNA from 1 species